rnacentral:snRNA from 1 species
AAACAAAAUGAAGGAAAAAAAA